GAUGAACGCUGGCGGCGUGCCUAAUACAUGCAAGUCGAGCGAACGGACGAGAAGCUUGCUUCUCUGGUGUUAGCGGCGGACGGGUGAGUAACACGUGGAUAACCUACCUAUAAGACUGGGAUAACUUCGGGAAACCGUAGCUAAUACCGGAUAAUAUUUUGAACCGCAUGGUUCAAAAGUGAAAGACGGUCUUGCCGUCACUUAUAGAUGGAUCCGCGCUGCAUUAGCUAGUUGGUAAGGUAACGGCUUACCAAGGCAACGAUGCAUAGCCGACCUGAGAGGGUGAUCGGCCACACUGGAACUGAGACACGGUCCAGACUCCUACGGGAGGCAGCAGUAGGGAAUCUUCCGCAAUGGGCGAAAGCCUGACGGAGCAACGCCGCGUGAGUGAUGAAGGUCUUCGGAUCGUAAAACUCUGUUAUUAGGGAAGAACAUAUGUGUAAGUAACUGUGCACAUCUUGACGGUACCUAAUCAGAAAGCCACGGCUAACUACGUG
rnacentral:rRNA from 1 species